AGAGUUUGAUCAUGGCUCAGGACGAACGCUGGCGGCGCGCCUAACACAUGCAAGUCGAACGGAGCUAUAUUGAAAGCUUGCUGGAUAUAUAGCUUAGUGGCGGACGGGUGAGUAACACGUGAGCAACCUGCCUUUCAGAGUGGAAUAACGUUUGGAAACGAACGCUAAUACCGCAUAAUGUCAGAGGACGGCAUCGUCUUUUGACCAAAGAUUUAUCGCUGAAAGAUGGGCUCGCGGCCGAUUAGGUAGUUGGUGAGAUAAUAGCCCACCAAGCCGACGAUCGGUAGCCGGACUGAGAGGUUGAACGGCUACAUUGGGACUGAGACACGGCCCAGACUCCUACGGGAGGCAGCAGUGGGGGAUAUUGCACAAUGGGGGAAACCCUGAUGCAGCGACGCCGCGUGAGGGAAGACGGCCUUCGGGUUGUAAACCUCUGCCUUCGGGGACGAAUAAAUGACGGUACCCGAGGAGGAAGCCACGGCUAACUACGUGCCAGCAGCCGCGGUAAUACGUAGGUGGCAAGCGUUGUCCGGAAUUACUGGGUGUAAAGGGAGCGUAGGCGGGGAGGCAAGUUGAAUGUCUAAACUAUCGGCUCAACUGAUAGUCGCGUUCAAAACUGCCACUCUUGAGUGCAGUAGAGGUAGGCGGAAUUCCUAGUGUAGCGGUGAAAUGCGCAGAUAUUAGGAGGAACGCCAGUGGCGAAGGCGGCCUACUGGGCUGUAGCUGACGCUGAGGCUCGAAAGCGUGGGUAGCAAACAGGAUUAGAUACCCUGGUAGUCCACGCCGUAAACGAUGAUUACUAGGUGUGGGGGGACUGACCCCUUCCGUGCCGGAGUUAACACAAUAAGUAAUCCA
rnacentral:rRNA from 1 species